rnacentral:rRNA from 1 species
AACGAACGCUGGCGGCAUGCCUAACACAUGCAAGUCGAACGAGACCUUCGGGUCUAGUGGCGCACGGGUGCGUAACGCGUGGGAACCUGCCCUUAGGUUCGGAAUAACUCCCCGAAAGGGGUGCUAAUACCGGAUAAUGUCUUCGGACCAAAGAUUUAUCGCCUUUGGAUGGGCCGGCGUUGGUUUAGCUAGUUGGUAGGGUAAAAGCCUACCAAGGCGACGAUCAAUAGCUGGUCUGAGAGGAUGAUCAGCCACACUGGGACUGAGACACGGCCCAGACUCCUACGGGAGGCAGCAGUGGGGAAUAUUGGACAAUGGGCGAAAGCCUGAUCCAGCAAUGCCGCGUGAGUGAUGAAGGCCUUAGGGUUGUAAAGCUCUUUUACCCGGGAUGAUAAUGACAGUACCGGGAGAAUAAGCUCCGGCUAACUCCGUG